UGAGCUUGGAGCGGCAGGGCUUAACCCGGAGCGCUCCGAGGUGGUUUUCUGAAGGACUCUGGAGGCAGCUGCAACAAGGCGUCACUCACUGUACAAGUAUUUCCAUUUCUAAGAGCAAAAGGAAGAACUUAAGCGGGCAGCACUUGGAGUGUAAAUUGCUUUCUAAUAUUUAAAAGCAGCAUGGAUCGUGGGCAGCAGAGCUGAGCUAAACCUAGGUUAAGCCACGGUCUGCAGAGUUGGUACUCCGUGCUCAGACCAGCAGCAUCCCCAGAGCUGUCCCCACUGAUGCAGAUGAAAAGCACAGGAUCUGGAGAUCUACUUCCAACCUAUGGAAUUCUGCAUUUCAAUGAGCUACACAGAUGAUUGACUUCUAUACACACUGAAGUGUGAGAAGCACUGAUGUACAUCCUUUACAUUGAAAUCCACCAGAUUUUUCUUAUAGCAGAUAUUUCCCCCACCCAAUCUUGGCACGGAAGAAAAUGAAGUUGUCUACAUACAACCACCAAUACAGAGGUCAUAGCAAUGAACCGAAACUUAAUGGCCUUUUUUUAUUAAAUGGAGAGUCUUGGAAUUGGUUUGAAAUGUUCCUGUCAUUGUGAUCUGGAAUGCCAGCUUCAAGAAAACACAAGCAAUGUUCUCAGGCUUUCAGACUCAAACUGGCUUUAUUCCAUCAACCUUCCUGGGAAUCGGCUUGAUGACUACAGAUUCUGAAAUUUUUCAACCUGCAUAACCAUGAAAUUGCCAGUUUACAAAUAACAUCUUCAUCUACCCUCCUCUCCCAAUAAAUGCUCCUGCCAGUCCCCGCGAAGGUUGAAGUUACACAAAUUUAGACUCUCAACUCAU